rnacentral:rRNA from 1 species
CCUACGGGAGGCAGCAGUGGGGAAUAUUGCACAAUGGGGGAAACCCUGAUGCAGCGACGCCGCGUGAGUGAAGAAGUAAUUCGUUAUGUAAAGCUCUAUCAGCAGGGAAGAAAAUGACGGUACCUGAGUAAGAAGCCCCGGCUAACUACGUGCCAGCAGCCGCGGUAAGACGUAGGGGGCAAGCGUUAUCCGGAUUUACUGGGUGUAAAGGGAGCGUAGACGGCAGUGCAAGUCCGGAGUGAAAGGCGGGGGCUCAACCCCCGGACUGCUCUGGAAACUGUACGGCUGGAGUGCAGGAGAGGUAAGUGGAAUUCCUGGUGUAGCGGUGAAAUGCGUAGAUAUUAGGAGGAACACCAGUGGCGAAGGCGGCUUACUGGACUGUAACUGACGUUGAGGCUCGAAAGCGUGGGGAGCAAACAGGAUUAGAUACCCCAGUAGUC